UAUGACCAUAUCACAUUGAAACACCGGUUCUCAUAUGAUCACCAAAGUUAAGCAAUGUCAAGCUUGGUCAGUAUCUAGAUGGAUGACUGCUUGGGAAUAUCAGGUGCU